rnacentral:rRNA from 1 species
GAUGAACGCUAGCGGCGUGCCUAAUACAUGCAAGUCGAGCGAACGGACGAGAAGCUUGCUUCUCUGAUGUUAGCGGCGGACGGGUGAGUAACACGUGGAUAACCUACCUAUAAGACUGGGAUAACUUCGGGAAACCGGAGCUAAUACCGGAUGAUAUUUUGAACCGCAUGGUUCAAAAGUGAAAGACGGUCUUGCUGUCACUUAUAGAUGGAUCCGCGCUGCAUUAGCUAGUUGGCAAGGUAACGGCUUACCAAGGCAACGAUGCAUAGCCGACCUGAGAGGGUGAUCGGCCACACUGGAACUGAGACACGGUCCAGACUCCUACGGGAGGCAGCAGUAGGGAAUCUUCCGCAAUGGGCGAAAGCCUGACGGAGCAACGCCGCGUGAGUGAUGAAGGUCUUCGGAUCGUAAAACUCUGUUAUUAGGGAAGAACAUAUGUGUAAGUAACUGUGCACAUCUUGACGGUACCUAAUCAGAAAGCCACGGCUAACUACGUG